rnacentral:misc_RNA from 1 species
UGGCUCUGGCAUCGAUGAAGAACGCAGCGAAAUGCGAUAAGUAAUGUGAAUUGCAGAAUUCAGUGAAUCAUCGAAUCUUUGAACGCACAUUGCGCCCGCCAGUAUUCUGGCGGGCAUGCCUGUCCGAGCGUCAUUUCAACCCUCAUGCCCCCAGUGCAUGGCGUUGGGGAUCGGCGUGGCGUCCUCCGGGACGCUGCCGGCCCCGAAAUUCAGUGGCGGUCUCGCUGUAGCCCUCCUCCGCGUAGUAGCACAACCUCGCGGCCUGGAGCUCGGCGGUGGCCAUGCCGUAAAACACCCCACUUCUGAAAGUUGACCUCGGAUCAGGUAGGAAUACCCGCUGA